AUCAAAAAUAGUAGCCUAGCAAGGUUGUUUCACGAUGUAAACUAAAAGUGGGCCUUCUCGGAUCCUUACAAAAGCCAAACAGAUUACGGAUGACCUCUUGACCUCGUUGGCAGGAAGCUAGUCAGACCAUGGCUGCUGGUGCUGCAGUCGGAGAGGGUCAGAUCCAACGGUUUAUCAGAGAUCUGCAUGAUGCUGUUUCAGAACUGACAAAAGAGUAUAAGGAGAACGGCGAGCCCAUUACAGAUGACAGCUCCAACCUGCACAAGUUCGCCUACAAACUGGAGUACCUGCUACAGUUCGGCCAGAAGGAGAAAACAACAUUUCUGGGAUCCAGAAAAGACUACUGGGAUUAUUUCAGCGACUGCCUGGCCAAAAUCAAAGGAGCAAACGAUGGAAUCCGCUUUGUUAAAUCAAUUUCAGAGCUCAAGACGUCUCUGGGUAAAGGCAGAGCAUUUAUCCGUUACUCACUCGUGCAUCAGCGGCUGGCUGACACACUCCAGCAGUGCCUCAUGAACCACAGGGUCACCAGUGACUGGUAUAAUUCCCGGAGUCCAUUUCUCAAACCCCAUCUCAGUGUGGACAUCAUUAAUUACCUCUAUGAGCUCAAUGAUGUUCAAUUUGAUGUGGCAUCCAGGGGUCAUGACCUUGACUCAGAGUGGCCCACUUUUGCAAGUAGGACACUGGGAAGGACUAGCUCCCCCAGUCACAUGUGGAAACCACCGAGUCGUAGUUCCAGCAUCAACAGUCUGGCCAGUACAUACUCACAGCAGGCCCAUGAGUUCCCUGGGAGUCCAGACUUUGGACCUGGGCUUCUAUCCGACAUGUCUGUCCAAAACUCCAGUGGACUUAAUGAUUCUUCCAUCAGUGCUAUAGACGAACUCCGUCUGGAGCUGGACCAGUCUGAAUUAAAGCAAAGAGAGCUACUCGACCAGGUUCAGCAGUUUGGCAGAGAGACAGGUGAACUCCACGGGGUUGUGGUAGAACUCCAAAGGCAGCUGGACGUCUCUCUAGCUGCCCAAGGUAACCAUCAGGAGCUCCAGCGGAACCUGGAGGUGCUAGCUGAGAGCGAACAAGCACUAUUCCAUGAGCUGGAGGUCUUAAGGGGACGCGAGACUAUCAGGGAGGCCUCCUAUAAGGACCUCCAGGACAUGUUGGCAGCAGCAGAACGGAAAAAUGAGGAACUGAUGGCCAGGCUAGAUGGAGUAUUGAAUGAGAAAGGCCAGAGGGCAGCCAGUGACUUCAACUCUGCCCAAAAGAUUCACGAGCUGUUAAAUGAAUUGAAAGAGGCUGAGAAGGGAAGGAUAGAUGCUCUGGCAGAAGGAGAAGAGAGGAGGAGGCAGGCAGAACAGCUGGCUGAGAAAAUCAGAAUAAAGGAUGAAGCACUCAAAGAGGCUGAAGUGAAAAUGGCAGCUUGGAUGGAAAAGGGUGAGCAACUGCAAACCAGGGCAGAAGAGCACUGUAAUGUCAUGGACAAACUUCAAGGGGCACUUGCAGUGCGAGAGAAGGACACCAGCAACCUGCAAAUGCAACUGCAAGAUCUCCAGCACUCUCAGGAAACAAUGGAAAAGCAGGCCAAAGUGGAGUGGAAGGAAAUGCAAGAGGAUAAAGAAGAGCUUGAGAAGAAGGUGAGUGGCCUGGAAGAGCUGUUGCAAACAUUACGGGCACAGCUGAAGGCUAAGGAGUCCAAUCUUCUCUCCAGUAUCAAGAGAGUCCAGUAUUUGGAGAAGGAAUCAGAGAAGCUUAACAGUGACAAACAGAAUCUGAGAGAAACCAUAUCUGCACUGGAGAACAGCACCAAAGAGCAGUCCAAGAAGAUUGAGGAAUACAAAGAUAGCUGUGGCAAGCUAAUGGAGGAAAACAGCAAGCUCCUCCAGAUGGUGAACAAGAAUGAAGAGACCAAGAAGGAGUUGCUUAAAAACAAAUCUUCUCUGGAGAGUGAGCUGGCUGGAUUGAAGGCCUCAGAGAAGCACUUGCGAGCGCAAAUUGAUGAUGCCAAAGUGACUGUGGAUGAAAGAGAGCAGCGGCUCAGAGAGGAGAACAGAAGUCUGGAUGAAAGGCUACAUAAGGCCAACAUGCAGUUGGAGGAAUCCGAAAGUUCAAUUCGCCAAUGGAAACUGGAGAACAAGGACCUCAUGGAGGUUCAGGUGACUCUUAGGGCAUCUCUCGCAGCCAUGCAGGAGGAGAUACGCAACAUCAACAGCCAGAUUGCUGAACUUGAGAGGAGUCUUGGAGCAGCGAGAUGCAAUGAGGCAAACCUGACCACACAACUUAAAGAUAAGGAUUCCGAACUGGAGGAUCGGGAGAAGCUCUGUGAGGAGCUCCAGGGAAGGGUGGAAGAACUUGAAGGUCAGGAGAGGGAUUUGGAAAUGGAGAAGACAAAGGCAGAAAGAGCCUUUGUUAAACAGACAGAGAUGAUUAAGACUCUUGAGGCCCAGAGGACAGCUGUGGAGAAGGUCCAACUUGAGCAGAGUGCAUGCCAUGCUAAAGAGACCCAAGAGAUGGCCUCAAAAGUGACUCUCCUGGAAGAUCAGCUGGGACUGAGUGUGAAAGAGGUUUCUAGGCUUCAAGAGGAGGUGCUCGAUCUCAGGGCUAAACUUUACAGUGCUGUGGAGGAAAAGGACAAGACCCAAGCAAAGCUGGAGGUCACCGAGGCUUCCUGUGCAGAACUACGAACCUUGACUGAGCAGUUGAAGAAGCAGGCAGAGGAGCAGAAUCGACUGCAUGUGAAAGAGCUGCUGCAGUCUAGCGAACGGGUCGAUGCCAUAGCUUUGCAACUGAAUCAGGAGACAUCCACAUGCAAGAAAACAACCGCUGAACUCACUUCAGUCCAAGAGGAGCUGGCGGAGCUCAAGUCCCAGAAUGAAAGGUUGGUUCUGGAGAAUGCUGAGACCAGAGAAGGUGUCCAUCGGGUCAACACAGAAAUGGCAGAGUUGGGAAUGACAAUUUGCAAGCUCACCGCAGAGCGGGAAGAGGCCCGGAAACAAUGGGCUGCCGAAGCUGCUCGGAUCCAGGAACUUCAACAGCAGGGAGUAAAGGAAACGGAGCGACUUAAUGCUAGCUUGGUGGCUCUUCACCAAGAAAACUCUAGUCUACAAGAAGAGAUCCAGCAGACGGAGAAACUUUCAGAAACUAUGCUGGAGCUAAAGGAGCUGCUGGACAAAACCGAGGGUGAACGGGACACUGCUCGUGAAGAGAUCGCGGCAGUGAAAUUUCAGAUGAGCACGGAGAGCAUGACUUUCAAAAACCAGAUAAAGAGCAUUAAUGAAGAGAUUAAGGGUUUGAAAACUCAGCUAGACAUGGAGUUGAAGAAGACAUCUGAGCUGGAGGCCAAAUUAUCCGAGUUAGAGGCAGUAAAUAUUGAAUACUCUCAUCUGAUUGAGGAGAAAGAUUCUCACAUCACUGACUGUGAGACUCAGAUGCAUGAGAGAGAGUGUGAGACACAGCAACUGCAAGAAAGUGUAUCAAGUACCAAAGAGGCUCUUAGUGAGGUACAGAAAGAGAGGGAAGAACUGAAGCAGAAAUUGGAUCAAGUGUUGACAGAGACUCAGAAUCAGCAUCUCCAGAUGUCUGCUGAGCUGGAGGAUCUGGGCCAAACCAAAUUAAACCUGGAGGAACGGCUCAUUGAACUUAUCAGGGAUAAGGAUGCUCUGUGGAAGAAGUCGGAUGCUCUGGAGUUCGAGCAGAAGCUGAGAGCGGAGGAGCAGUGGUGGCUGGUCGAUAAAGAGGCCACACAUUGUCUGGGCUGCCAGGGCCAGUUCACAUGGUGGCUGCGGCGCCAUCACUGCAGGUUGUGUGGCCGUAUCUUCUGUUACUACUGCAGCAAUAAUUUUGUGAUGACAAAAAACUCAAAGAAGGAGCGCUGCUGCCGAGACUGCUACAUGCAGCACAACGCUGUGGUGGAAAGAUUCACGAAAGCUGAACUCAGCAGCUCGUCAGAGAAUCAACCACAGCUUCAUGCAAAUGCUUCCGGUCUACCACCACCACCCUAUAUACCCACACCAAGAGUUACAGUUACAGAUCCUGGUGAGAAACCGGAUGAUGGGGCAUUUGACAUCAUAACAGAGGAGGAAGUGAAUGAGACCUAUGACAGCGACUCGCGCACCACCACCGAGUCACAGGAGGAAGAAGGAGAUGGAAGGCAAACUGGAGAACUUACCAUAUCGAGUGACGUGACUCCUGAUGAACAGGAAGAGAUGGUCCCUACUAUACAGGAUACAGAAAUCACCCUCCUCAAGUCAGGAGAACUCACUGCCUCUGUGCCUCUGGAUAUAGAUGAGAUUCUUCAUUUCGGUGAUGGUUCCCGUGAACUGUUUGUCAAGUCCAGUUGCUAUAGUGCCAUUCCCAUCACUGUGGGCGACCGAGGGCCCAUCAUCAGCUGGGUUUUCUCUUCCGAGCCCAAGAGCAUCUCCUUCACUGUGGUGUACAGAGAGACACUUGACACACCUGUUGAGCAUGCCAAGGUUCUGAUUCCUCUCACACGCUGUAACUCACAUAAAGAGACCAUACAGGGCCAACUGAAAGUCCGCAAUCCUGGAGUCUAUACACUCGUCUUUGAUAACUCAUUUUCCAGAUUUCUCUCCAAGAAGGUCAACUACCACCUGACCAUCGAGAAGCCCAUCGUCUAUGAUGGAAGUGACUUCCCUUAAAUGUGGCUUUGUGGUGUGUGGGAACUUUGUUUUAUUUUUAUCCUUAUUCAGAUCUGUUCCUGUGUGUCAAGGGUUUCUGCUUAAGAGUUUUAUGGGUUAGAAUAGUAUUAGUUAUGGUUUAUCGCUGAUAGCAUUCAGGUUAUUCACUGUGACCUGUGUUAUGAAGCAGUUUCUACAGCAUAUGUACUUGCUUUUGACACUUUUUUUGUGGCUUCAGUAUUUUAAAAUGAUUUUACAAACACUACAGAUGAAUUCAAAGCAUCAGUGAUACAGGACAAUUGAUGCUCACACAGACUUGGAGAUAUCCAAAAAUGGCUGCAGUUUGCAAAGAUAUCACACUACACUUCCACUACAGUUAUCCAACACGAUAGUAUGUGCUCUGAGUUUACCAAGUACACAGGAAAAACAACUUUUUCCCCUUGUUAACUGUAUUUUGGCAUAUUUUUUUUAAAGAAAUGCUGCAUUAGGUCUUUUUAUAGGAACACGAGGAGAAUUUCAUACCAGUUCAAACUGUAUGAUUCACAAAAGCAAUAAGCUGCGUUUACAACACUCUCCUGUGUUUUUUUUUUUUUUAACUCAAAGCGGAAUGCUAAGAUGUUGUGUCAUGACAAAGUCCUGUAAAAGUAUAGUCUUUUUGUAGACCCCACCAACUAGGUCAAAUUGUCUCUGGUAAGACAGCAAAAUUGAUCUACUCACUAUUCUUGUGUCAUCUAAAGCAUUAUAUAUUCACAAUAUAUACAGGUAAAUAUGGCACUUUUUAUUUAAUCCACUCCAUGCACUAUUUUGUAUACAAUAUAUUGAAUUAAAUGGCAGAUACUGUGUUGUCAUUUAGCACUUGCACAGAGUCUAUUUUUGCAAAAUAUAAGGCUCAGUUUUUUUUUUAUCUUUGAAUGCCUCCUUUCUGUAUAUGCAUCACUGAAUCUUCAUCCUGGUAGAUCACCAAACAUUAGUAAUAUGAACACUAAGGCUGUUAAAUGUGCAUUUAAUGAACCGUCUUGUUUUUUUGUU